rnacentral:snRNA from 1 species
CUCUGGUGGAAGCCCGCAGCGAUACUGACG